CUUGUCCUAUCGCUAUCAUCAGGAGAAAGAGAGGGGCUGGCUGCAGAACAGAAGCUGAGCACGGGUGCAAAGGAGGUGCACACUGGAUGAGUCUUCACACCGAUGCAGAAUAUUUGAUCAAGAUCAGCUCAAGUCCUUCUCCUGGUUGUCAGACCUUUCAGCCCGUGGCCUUAAUGGAGCUUUUGGACUUCAUCUGGCUGCUGGCAGCUCUCCCCACGAAGAUGGGGAGCUCUCAGAAUGGCAGGAAGAGCUCAAGAAACAUAUUUUCCAAGGAACAUAUUCAGAGAAAGCCACUCCUACAAUUCUUGUGCAGUAGGAAAACUGCACAUUGGCAGUGAAAUAUACAGGACUGUGUGAAAGCUACCUUUAAAGAAAAACAACAACAAAAAGGAAGCAAAUGUGUAAUACAGAGAGGAUGAGUCCGUUCUGAGGAGGCGUGGUGUUAUAUCGCACAGCCUUCCUGUUUGGUUAUGAGCUGCCACCCCAGCA
ensembl:lncRNA